GGCUCUAGGACCCGGGGAGUUCCUUGUACUAUUAGAGAACUCCUGGAAUGCAGCAGUUAGGAAUGAUAUAUUGAGAGUUUCCCUUGCGAACUGUUCUGGUUUAUAUCAACGAGUAAAAGAAACUAUAACAUGCUAUUUGAAACUUAAAGGUACAGAAAAAGCUCUAUCAUUAAUCUUAAUCACUGUUCUUAGUGGUUUGUUCGUCUUUUAAGAAUUAUGUAUAUUGCCUUGUAGAAUGUUUUUGUAAUAUGGUGCAUUUCGUAAGACGUCUUACAACUCUAUAUGGGAAAUGGUUGCGAUCUCAGUUCUGUAAAAGUGAAUAAGCUGUUGCCAGCGCGCAUAAAUCCUAAGAUUAAGAUUUGUCCUUUCUGUUACUGCUCGCUGUAUGUUAGAGCCUUGUGCAAUAAUUGUGGUAAAUAUAUAUUGGGUCCAAGAGGAACACAAGAAAUAGCACUCAAUCGGACCCUUAGUUUUUAUUGCAUACGCUGCUGGUCAAAUCAAGAUCUAGCAGAAACCAAGUGGGUAAGAUUCUAUUGCCGCCGCACUCAUAGACAAGUAUUUGUAACAUCCUGGUUGCAUUUUCUGUAAGAAGUGUGUUUUAUAGUUUGCAGCGGCAUCCUGUGAUUUUGUGAUAACAUAAGAUCGGACAGCCAACAGCAAACCCAUAUUUCACGGUCUGCGGCGCCCUCUCGCAGCUUUGUUUGGUGACGUAGAUUGCUCAGAUAGAAACCAGAAGAAUCUUCUAGGAAAACCCCUACAAGAAAAGUGGGAGGGACCUUUCCAAGUGCUGCUGACCACCUUCACCGCGGUUAGGAUCAAAGAACGACCUACAUGGAUUCACUACUCCCGAGUCAAGAAAGCUCCGGAAGAUAAGCGGGAAGACCUGACAUCAUGAAUCCGGCUCUUUCAACAUUGAUCAUUGGACUUUUGAUAAGUAUUGUUUUAUCCCAAAACCCUACUCCAGAAGGGCCGUGGUCUAGUGCACGCACACUACCACGCUCCGAGGAAAACCCAGACUUUGAGAUUUAUGUUCUACAUAACAAUCAACCCUAUACGAUAGAUGAAUGGGAUAGUGGAACCCAUUUCAUAGCACAAAAAGAAGACCAAAUUCAAGUAGGAUGCCGAGAAGUCGAGGCUUUAGUGGGAAAAACAGAUAAACUAGCAUUGACAAUUGAAUUCUGGCAAGAAGCCCCUAGACAGAACUUAAUUACUCAUAGCCAAGUAGAAGAUGGGAAGCCCAUCGUCUGGAUUGAACGGAAGGGACCAGUCUCAUGUCAAUGGGAUAGUACUGAAGGGGGUAGAGCACAGUGUGAAAUUAUAUUCAAACUAGAUCAAUCGAUGUCGUUUUCAUGUAGCAGAGAAGCCAAGAUUCUUGAACCCAUUGGUGAACAAGGCAUUGUAACCGGUAGAGCCUUUAAGCGGGCCAUUAGAUUAGCAACAGACUCAAUUGUGAGCCCGUCUCGUGAAACCACUCAGCCUCUAGAAUGCAGGAAGAUACAUAAUUUAACCUUUAUAGGACCUCAAGUAAUAAGACAAUCGAACGAACUAAAGUUGUUAUUAGAUCCUACAUAUUCUCUGAAGAAAAUACAGAUGAACAUUCAGACAGACAUUACACACUUACAGGGAGAUUGCCGACCAUUUAUACAGCACAGCCUCAAAGGCUGGAAUGCCUGGUUAGCAACUAGAUCACACCGCAAACGAACACAAAGAGAUAUAAGCGGAUGGGUUGGUACAGGGUUCGGCAUAUUGAACACUAUAGACCAAGAAGUAUUAGUGAACAAAUUAAGUACCGUCACUUCUAAUUUGGGAAAGCUUAAAGUACCUUUAAGCUCGUCUAUGCUAACCUUAGCAGAGACACAGUCAUUAGUGGUCAAAUUGAUGACCUUAGUAGCCAACCACACCGCUGAAGAUUUUGUUAAACUUGCUGACUAUACUGGAGAGAUUAGCAAAGAAAUUGCACUUGCUAUCCAGUGUGUUCAGACACAGCAAUGGGUACAAUCAGUAGCAGCGGGAAUAUUAAGAGAAGGAAUGUCAGGUAUACUGCCUCAGGAAAUAAGGGAGAGUAUAUUAAGAGGUAGCUCCACCACACAGUUUGAAAGAGACCACCAGGUUUGGUGGCAACUAGUUAAUUUCACUUAUGAUCCACAAGAGGAACACAUUGAAACCUAUGUCCUUACUAUUAGUGCCGCAGAAGAAAGGGUUAUAUUUCCUGUUUUAACAUUAGGAGCUAUGUAUCAGAAUGUCAUUGUCAAACCUGUGGACCAUAACGUUUGGGCAAAUUAUGAUAGUACUAAGAACAAGUGGCAAUCAAUUAGUACAGAAGCAUGUAUUCCUAAAGGGCAAUUAGGUUAUAUCUGCGAAAAUGCCAUUGUAGAAGCUGAGGAUCUAUGCUUAGAUGCCGAAGACAGUGUAUGCACUUUUGAAAUGCUUCCACACAAUAGAGCGCCAUCACAAGUAUUCUAUAUAGGGAAUGGAUGCGCUUGCAUUAGAACUGCCUGUAAUGAUGUUACUAUAGAUAAUUGUCAUGAAGUGACUAACGAUACUAACUUUUGCAUAUGCAACUUCACAAAAGUCAUGGGUUGUGACUUUAACUACACUGUUCCCAUAACUACACAGCAGUUAAUCGAAGCUGAGUAUACUUUAUAUCAUGAGAUACCCAAGCUACAGAUAGGCAUGGAUGUUAAGCUUCUCAAAGAGAUGCUUGUGCAUCCUGAAGUAGAAAAGUUAGUUCAGAAGGUGAACCAAACGACCCAACGCAUGUUGUGGCAAGUAGAGCAUAAUUCUAAAGGUAUAAAAAAUAUCCUGACAAAAGUUGCGCAAGUAGGCCAGCAUCAUUGGUGGGACAUUUUCACAGGAUACUCCCCAACAGCAACACAAGUCUUUCACUACCUAAUACACCCCAUAUUGAUUAUAACUAUGGCCAUGUUCUUGUUAACUCUCAUGAAUAUAUGUCUGUGGUAUAAGUUAAGAUCCAUGGUCAGAAGAACCCAAAUAAUCUGGGCAAUGAUGAAAGCCUAUCAGCGCCCCUUAGGAUUAGAACUUGACGAAAGAGUUCGUAAGUUUUAGAAAAGGGGGGAAUGAAGCCAGGUAACACCUGAGAAGUGAAUUUAAUAAAGCAAUGUAAGGAUUAGAGAGAGUUAAGCACAAAUGCAGGCUUUCAGCAAAGGCACAUAGAGCUCAGUAUUAGGAAAUAGCGGAGACAAUAAAUCCACUAGGAUACAGGACACCCUGACAUAGAAGAACAUAGACCUGAACAAAAAAUGCUAGCACACACAAAAAAGGACAUAUGGAAGGAAAACAAAGAGAGAUAAGAAGAGGGACAAGCCAAACAAUUAAGCACUUUUGCCAGAUAUUGAGAAACCCUGCCAAAUGCAUAAGGAAACUACCCAAAUUAGGGAAGGUUCAAAAGUUUAAGAAGAAGAUGAUGGUGAGGACAGCGGGUUCAUGAUGAAGAAAGGCCGGAACGACCACCAAAGUUCUCCCCAAAUUGAAGACCACGCCUCUAACUCCGCCUCAACUCCGCCUAUUAUGAAUAUUAAAAGUAGAUGUUGCAAUGUAA